rnacentral:rRNA from 1 species
CUGGGAACGGUAACUAAUACCGCAUCCCGUCUUCGGACCCAAGUGGGGGACCUUCCGGGCUCUCUCCAUCGAAUGUGCCCCGAUGGGAUUAGCUGGUGAGUGGGGGAAUGGCUCACCUAAGCAACCAUCCCUGGUUGGACUGAAAGAAUGACCACCCACACUGUAACUGACACACCGUACUCACUCCUACGGGAGGCAGGAGUGGGCACCCAUAUUGGGGCCGACUAGGCCCUUGCCUGAUGCAGGCCUGCCGCGUGGUAUGAGGAACGGUCUUUCUGAGUUGGUAAGUUCCUUUUACAGGUCGGGGAAAGGAAGGGUUGAUAGUAGGUAAUAACCUCUGCAAUCGAUUGACACCUUACCCACGCGAGAAUAGAAACCACCGGCUUAAUCUCCCCUGCCCACACAGCCCGCGGGAUAAUCACGAGAGGGGUGCAAGCGUUAAAAUCGUAAUUAACUGGCGCGUAAACGCGCACGCAGGGCGGUCGUGUCAAGAUGAGAUGUGAAAUCCCCGGGCUCUUACCCUUGGGAACUGCAUUCGAAACUGGCAAGCUAGAGUCUUGUAGAGGGGGGUAGAAUUCCAGGUGUAGCGAUGAAAUGCGUAAAGAUCUGGAACGACUACCGGUGCCGAAGACCGGCCCCCUGGACAAUGACUGACGCUCAGGUGCGAAAGCGUGAGGAGCAACCAGGAUUACAUACCCUGGUAGUCCACGCGUAACCGAUGUCGAUUUGGAGGUUGUGCCCUUGACGCGUGGCUUCAGGAGCUACCCCGUUAAGUCGCCCCCCUGGGGACGUACCGGCCAGCCAAGAUAAAAAUUCAAAUGUAGAUUGCGGGCCGGCCGCCCCAGCGGUGCAUCCAUGUGGUUUACAUACGCAUGCAACCCGACGACCAUCCCUACUACUCAUGGCCAUCUAAAGAACUUAGCAGAGAUGCUUGCGGCCUUUAGCAACUAUGAACCAGCUGCAUGCCAUGCUGGUAGUCAGUUCGUGUUGUGAGAAUGUUGGACUUACGUCCCGCAACGAGCGCAAUCGUUAUCUGUCUAGCCACCGAUCCGGCUGGGAACUCAAAGGAGACUGCCAGUGAUAAACUGGAGGAAGGUGGGGAUGACGUCAAGUCAUCAUGGCCCUUACGACUAGGGCUACACACGUGCUACAAUGGUGCAUACAAAGAGAAGCCACCUCGCGAGAGCAAGCGAACCUCAUAAACUCCAUCGUAGUCCGGAUUGCAGUCUGCAACUCGACU